rnacentral:misc_RNA from 1 species
UAAACAGCAGUAUUUCCCUUAUCACUAAGCAUCUGAUCAAAAUUGAAGGUGUAAUUGGUCAGCCUGUUGUUCUUCAGGUCAGCAUAUUUAACAGCACCGUAUCCUACUGCUUCAGCAGUUUGCUCUAGUUCCUCAGCAGUCCAAUCUUUAGUCUUACCUCUUUCUUCAAGUGCUGCUUUACACCGCUUCUUGGCAUCAUCAAGCAAAUCAACCAGCUUAACCACCUCUGUACUUCGAGUACGAAACCGUUUCCCAUCUUCCCCUAAAACUAGACCAAAUCCUACAUGACUGGCUUUAGGAUAAUCAUUCUCGUUGGGAGGAAGCCAGCCCGCACGUUUUGCAGCAGAAAAGACCAUCUCAAAGUGCUCACGCUGUCCAACGUCAGUCACAUAUAUCAUCCAGUCUGCUUUUUCUUCAUUUAGUCGAUACCAUAGAGCAGUAAGAUCGGUUGAAGCAUAGUUGAAACCACCAUCCCUCUUCACAACAAUAAGCGGUAUUUUCUUCCCUUCAAUAAAGAUGACGCGGGCUCCUUCACUUUCUUCAAUUAAUCCCUUCUCAUUAAGCAUCUCUAAAGCUUUGGGAAUAUACGGAUUAUAAAAGCUUUCACCCUUUUCCUCUAAGUGAACCCCAAGUCUCUCAUAAACCUUCUGAAAUUCUUUUCGGCUGAUUUCACAUAUUUGUGCCCAUGCCAUCCUGUACUUCUCAUCCCCACCCUGAAGACUAACGACUGCCUUUUGCGCCCUUUCCUUGAAAUCUGCAUCAUUGUCAAAUCUUUGUUUUGAAGCCUUAUAGAAUGCCUCCAGAUCUCCGAUUGCUGGAGCAUUACCAGCUUCCCAAUUAGGAAAUUUUUCAUAAAGGAACUCAAUUAACAUUCCGAACUGUGUGCCCCAGUCACCCACAUGGUUUCUCCGAAGAACAUCAACAUUGGAAAACUCCAACAUACGGGCCAGAGUGUCUCCAAUUAUAGUAGAUCGUAAAUGACCCACAUGCAUCUCUUUUGCUAUGUUGGGUGAUGAGAAGUCAACAACAGUCCUUUUAACAGGAAGCUUGGGUGCCCAUGUCUCAAUGCCAUCUAUUAGCAUCUUUUGAAGACUCUUCGCUAUCCAUUGCCUUGCUAAUACAAUAUUAACAAAACCGGGUCCUGCUAUAGAGCAAUUCUCUAUCAUUUCCGAUGCAGGAAGAUUUUCUAUAAUUGCCUUUCCAACAGGCUGAGGACCCUUGAACUGUGUACCUUUGCCUUUAAUUUUAUUCCACAAGCUCAUUGCAUUAUUGCAUUGAUAGUCACCAUGUUUUGGAUCAUUGCAAAUAGCAACCAAAGGUUGUACAUCUGGAAUAUCAGGGAAUGCUGCUCUAAGUGAUUCCUCAAACAGCUUUGCUAUUUGCUGCUUUUGACUACCAAUAAUUUCUUUAUCAUUCUCCAUGGUUGAUAUUGUCCUUAAAGAUACUCCAAAUGCACCAAAAAAUCUCCUAGAUGUUGCUCUGAGGACACCUGUGGGUAUGGAGGAGAAAAGGAGAGAAAUUGGGUUUUAGAAGCUUAGCUGAUGGAGGCGGAGAAAGUGAAAGUAAUGGUGGAAUUUUCAGGGAAAUGGCG